GACGAACGCUGGCGGCGUGCUUAACACAUGCAAGUCGAACGGAAAGGCCCUGCUUUUGUGGGGUGCUCGAGUGGCGAACGGGUAAGUAACACGUGAGUAACCUGCCCUUGACUUUGGGAUAACUUCAGGAAACUGGGGCUAAUACCGGAUAGGAGCUCCUGCUGCAUGGUGGGGGUUGGAAAGUUUCGGCGGUUGGGGAUGGACUCGCGGCUUAUCAGCUUGUUGGUGGGGUAGUGGCUUACCAAGGCUUUGACGGGUAGCCGGCCUGAGAGGGUGACCGGCAACAUUGGGACUGAGAUACGGCCCAGACUCCUACGGGAGGCAGCAGUGGGGAAUAUUGCACAAUGGGCGGAAGCCUGAUGCAGCAACGCCGCGUGCGGGAUGACGGCCUUCGGGUUGUAAACCGCUUUCGCCUGUGACGAAGCGUGAGUGACGGUAAUGGGUAAAGAAGCACCGGCUAACUACGUG
rnacentral:rRNA from 1 species